rnacentral:rRNA from 1 species
CAGCCGCCACGGGAAUACGAACCGUGCGAACGUUAUUCGGAAUCACUGGGCUUAAAGCGCGUGUAGGCGGCUCGGCGCGUCGGCUGCUGAAAUCCCCCGGCUCAACCGGGGAACGGGCACCGAUACGGCCGGGCUGGAGGGGGGUAGGGGGGCCUGGAACUUCCGGUGGAGCGGUGAAAUGCGUUGAGAUCGGAAGGAACGCCCGCGGCGAAAGCGAGGCCCUGGACCCUUUCUAACGCUGAGACGCGAAAGCCAGGGGAGCAAAUGGGAUUAGAUACCCGCGUAGUCCCUGUCUCUUAUA